UUGGGAAAGUGUGGGGCUUAUGCAGGGACGUGCAUGGACAGACAUGGCAAAGGCCCACAGCUGGGUUCAGAGCCUCAGGGAACACAGGUUGGGCAAAGCAAGGUGGGCCCAGUCCUAGGGACCAGCUGCUCACCUGCCUGGCCUCCAGUCCCCAUCUGGCCCCUCCACCUGACAGGGUGAGCGGACAGACCCAAAGUACCUUGGAGCGUUUAAAGCCCCACACAGAUGGGAAUCUUAUCCACUGAGGUCCCACAGGAGUGACCACAGAAGACGACAGCCUUAGAACCAUCUUUAGGCUAAUUGUGUUCCAAGUUAAACAAAGAACAAAUUAGGGAAUGAUUAUUCCAUUUAGGAGAGAAUUUUUCACUUUUCAGAAAGAGUCACCAUAGAAUUCUUUUAUGUAGUAAGUUUUCCGGUACAUUUAAAAUGUGGUUUUUAUUUAUAGACAGAUUAUUAUGUUGUGCCCAGGACUGUUUACGAGGGCAUUGGUUUUGUAAAGCAAACCCUUUCAGGAUGAGAUUGAAUGUGACAAGAGGCUGGAUAGAGAUGCCCUGAAGGCUCCUGGGAACAGUGACAAACAUGGACUUGCCUGAUCCCAGUGGUGUGGUUGCCUCAGCCCUGGCCACAGCCCCCAGGAGCAGAGGACGUGGCUGGAAGACCAGGGGAUAGAGGUGCCCCUGUCCACUCUCCCCUGUGAGAGUGUCCUGGUGUGUACACUUCAGAGGAAGGGGCCUGCCUGCCUCCUGGGGCGAGAGGGCGAGGAGCAUGUUAGAGUGUGUGUGAGCACCAGAGGACAUAAACCAUGAACGUGAGCCUGCUGCGGACCGCACAGCCCUAGGCUCGUGCUCCCCAGCUCAGAGCCUUUAAUGGCUUCUUCCUGCCUGAAGGAAUUAGGUUCAAGAUCUUUCCAUGGCCUUCAAGACUCUUCAUGUUGUGGACCUUGUCUGCCUCCCCAGUUUCUUCUGUUUACUGUGUCCCCUGUUCUCUUUCACCAACACUGGUGUCUGUCUGGAGGCCCCUUGCCUCUCUCCCUGCCCCCAACACCCAGCUGAGGCCAAGGUCAAGAACUGGCAGCCUGUGGGCUAAUGUGGCCUGCAGAUUUUUCAAAAAUUGAGAUAUAAUUAUCAUACAAAAUGUACAGAUCUUGUGGUCCUUCUGUAGGUGUGUUUUAAAAAUUAUUUCCUUAACAUUUAAACAUUGAGAGAUCUCACAUAAAAACCCAGAUUUCUGGUUCCUUUGAGGAGCUAGAAUUUGGCAACGUGGGCCCUCAUUCUUGCAUGUCAUCCCUGAGCUGGAACCACACUCCAGCCACACCUCUGACCAGCACAGUCCCCAGCCAGGCCCCCUUUCCUCUUUUCUUUACCUGCCAGUUCGCCAUUGUCCCUUCUGCAAGCCUCAGCUGAGGUGCUACUUCCUCACUUAGGCCUUCCGGAGCCCCCUUCAGACUAUAUGAGGUCACUCGGUGACAAACUGGCAUAGUAUAGUCCCUUGGACUUUCUUCAUUGUAUUAAUUAAUGAUCCCAGUAUUUCAUCAGUAUCUUUGUUUUCCACAAGACUGUUGUCUCCUCGGGGAUAGGGACAAGUCUGUCUUGCCCCUGUCAUAUCCCUCAGUGUCUGGCCCAGAGAAAGACCUCAGUAAA